CCUUAUAACCGUUAGCAAUUAGCAACAUUAGCAGGUGCAGUUAAUGAGGACGGAGACUCGGAGAGUUUUAGUCUAAACUAUUUUACUAAAUUACCACCACAGCAGCAACUUAAAACUGACUCAGACUCGACGCCCAAACUAAAGCUGCGUACGGAGAGGAGAACAUGGAGAUCUUUUCCGCAGCAUUUCCCAGCAGUGAGUUGACUCAGCUGAUCAAGAUGAUGAUGAGCAGAAGUUAAGGAAGGAGCUGCACACGCUGUGCAGCAACAGGUUUCUUCAAAAGCCACCAGGAGAGCAAGUUCAGCUACAGGGCACCCUCUCCGAGGUCCACAAGCUGCUCCAGCUCAUGCUCAACGAUACCAGCCACCAGCACAUCAACAAGAGUGCUCCUUUUCCUACAUGCAAAGCAUGAAAACUUAUCUGAGGGACAUGUGUGGACAGGACAGACCAGAGGAGAAAGGCCUUCCUCUUACAAAUAUGGAUUUUCAAGGAUCGAUUGUAAU